UUAAAAUAUUAUAUGUUACUCAGACAUCACUAAACACAGAGUUUGGGUCCCCUGGCAGGCGCUGUCAGCCGGAGCCGACGCCCGGAGGCGGCCUGCCAAAGCAACAAAGGUAAGGUAUACACGUUUAUGGGUAUUGAACCCAUUUUUACGAAAAAAACGGGGCGUUUUCUUUUUCAAUAAUGAUCCUUCCGCAGGUUCACCUACGGAAA
rnacentral:misc_RNA from 1 species